AUGAAAAUAUCAUUUUGCCUGUUCCACAGUGGGAGAAAAACUACAGAGAUAAGAAGAUUGGCAGAGCCAAGCUACACAUUGAGAAAACGUUUCUUUAAAAACAAAUCCGGAAGUCUCAUAGUCUCGUGUUAUGGAAAGUGCUUCCUGUGUUUGCCUCUGCUACUAUCAACACUUGUGAAAGAAAAGGCUCCUGGAUUUGAAAUGGAGUUUAGUGACAAUGCGGGACUUUUCCUCUGGGUCCUCAGCUUUGAGCAGUGUUGGGCAGGAGGUGUUUACUGAGCCUUUACUCACAAACCCAUUCAAAUAAUCACUCUAGGUGGGGCCUGGUGGUUCAUGCCUGUAAUCCCAGCACAUUGGGAGGCCAAGGUGGGCAGAUCACUUGAGGUCAGGAGUUCAAGACCAGCCUGGCCAACAUGGCAAAACCUCAUCUUUACUAAAAAUACAAAAAACAAAAAAAAAAACAAAACAAACUCUUAGCCGGAUGUGGUGGUCUUAGCUACUCAGGGGGCUGAGGCAUGAGAAUUGUUCAAUCCCAGGAGGCGGAGGUUGCAGGGAGGUUGCAGUGAGCUGAGAUUGCACCACUUCACUGUAGCCUGGGCAACAGGAAGAGACUGUGUCUCAAAAAUAAAAACAAGAAAUACUCUAUCCAGAAGCAGAAUAGUCAGACUAGCAAUUAGUUAAAGAGAAUAGUCUCCUUAAAUGUUAAUUCCCCAUGUUUUAAAACCAGUCUGGGAUCCUGGCACUGAAACAUGUGGUGUUCCUUAGACCACUCGGGCCAGCUGCUGCAGGGAGGGAAGAUUCCUCGUCAUUCUGAAUCACAUGGUAUUUCCCAGACCACCUAUGCCAGCCAGCUGCUACAGGGAGGGAGGAUUCCUCAACCUUCUGAAUGACCUGGUGUUCCCCAGACCAUCUGGGCCAGCCAGCUGCUACAGGAGGAAGGAUUCCUUGUCCUUCUGAACCACAUGACGUUCCCUAGACCACCUAUGCCAGCCAGCAGCUGCGGGGAGGAAGGAUUCCUUGUCCUUUUGAAACAAGUCCAUUAUCAGGUUUGUAAUUUGCAAUUUGUUUUCCUAUUCCAUGGGCUGUCUUUUUGCCUUCUUGAUGAUAUCAUUUGCAACACAAGUUUUUAAUUCCUGGGAAGUCCAAGUUAUUUUUUUCUUGUAUUGCUUGUGUUUUUGAAGUCAUAGGUAAGAAGCCAUUGCCUAACUAAAGGUCAUGAAGAUUUAUUCCUACAUUAUAACAGUUUUAUAAUAAGCUUUCAUUUAGGUAUUUGAUCUAUUUUGACUUAUGUUUUGUGUACAGUGUGAGUGAUCCAGCUCCAUUCUUUUGCACAAGGAUACCUAGUUUUUCUAGUACAAUUUGUUGAAUACACUAUUAUUUCCCUGUUAAAUGGUUUUUGAGACCCUUUUCCAAAAUCAAUGUGCCGUAAAUGUAAGGGUUUAUUUCUCUUUCAUAGAUCUACAUGCCUUCCUGUGUGCUGAUACCUCACCAUCUUGAUUAUUAAAGCCUUACAAUACAUUUCGUAUUUGUAAAUUUUGUCCUCUUUUUCUUUCUUUCCCUCCCUCUCUCCUUCCUCCUUUCUUCCCUUCCCUUUCUUCUUCUUUUUUUUUUUUUUUUUUUGAGACAGAGUUUCACUCUUGUUACCCAAGCUGGAGUGCAAUGGCGCCAUCUCGGCUCACCGCAACCUCCGCCUCCUCGGUUCAGGCAAUUCUCCUGCCUCAGCCUCCUGAGUAGCUGGGACUACAGGCACACGCCACCAUGCCCAGCUAAUUUUUUGUAUUUUUAGUAGAGACGGGGUUUCACCAUGUUGACCAGGAUGGUCUCGAUCUCUUGACCUUAUGAUCCGCCCGUGUCAGCCUCCCAAAGUGCUGGGAUUACAGGCUUGAGCCACUGUGCCCGGCCUCCCUUUCUUCUUUUGUAAAGGCACAGCUGGCCUCAAACUCCUGGUCUCCAGCAGUACCCCAGGCUCAGCCUUCCAAAUAUCUGGGACUAUAAAUGUGAACCAUACCUGGCUCC
rnacentral:lncRNA from 1 species